rnacentral:lncRNA from 1 species
CGGCGGGGAGGGGUGGACCAGCAGCACUCACAGCCGGACGGAGGAGCGGACGCCAGCCGCGCCGGCCAGAGCGAGCGCCCCGUGGCCGGGGGCGCCGUCCAGGCGCGCGCCCCGGACCCGUGGCUGGACGGGGGCGAUUGGCGCCCCGGACCGACGCGCCCCUCAGCAUGGAGCGCCCCCGGGGUCUGCCCUGAGGCGGCGGCGGCGGCGAUGCAGCCAGCGCAGCAGCUGCUUGGGCCAGGAACGGCCGCCCGGAGCUCGGAGGACGUGGAGCGCACCGCGCCCGGGGCGCUGACCGAGCUGGUAUCUUGCCAGAUCGUUCAUGGAGAAAGUGGAUCUCAUCUGGCAAGAGCAUAAUCAUCUUCCCAACACCCCCUCUAGUGGUGGGCAAGGCUGGACAAGUGGCUGUCUUGGUUGGACCAGGUGCCUGGGAGGGGACUGGACGUGAAGCCCUCCAGAGGCCAUCGCAUGAUCGUGCACAGGAUCCAAGACUCGGUGGCUCCUGGUGUACUCAUUCCACAGUGCCUCUUAAUAGCAAGUGGACUCCUCCAAGGGCGAUGAGCAUCACAACUUUGGUUGACCUUGGUCUAGGUAAGCCUUGUCUUCCAUAGCAAGGUUUGAUGUCUGUCUUAUCAGCUUCUUUGCUGUGGUAUUGAUAUGGUUGUUUUGAAAAUAAUGGACUUUCCAGUAAUUUCUAUGAUGGUAAAUACUACUCACAGUUGCCACUUUAUACAAAAUACUGUAGGGUGUUUUACCCCAAACAGGGGUAGUCUCCUGAG